UUUAAUUCGAAGCAACGCGAAGACCCUUACCUAGACUUGACAUCCCCUGCAUAACCCAGAGAUGGGCGAAGUCCUUCGGGACAGGGUGACAGGUGGUGCAUGGUUGUCGUCAGCUCGUGUCGUGAGAUGUUGGGUUAAGUCCCGCAACGAGCGCAACCCUUAUCAUUAGUUGCUACCAUUAAGUUGAGCACUCUAGUGAGACUGCCCCGGUUAACCGGGAGGAAGGUGGGGAUGACGUCAAAUCAUCAUGCCCCUUAUGUCUAGGGCUACACACGUGCUACAAUGGUGAGUACAAAGAGAUGCAAGACCGCAAGGUGGAGCCAAACUCAAAAACUCAUCCCAGUUCGGAUUGUAGGCUGCAACUCGCCUACAUGAAGCCGGAGUUGCUAGUAAUCGCGAAUCAGCAUGUCGCGGUGAAUACGUUCCCGGGCCUUGUACACACCGCCCGUCACACCAUGAGAGUUGGUAACACCCGAAGUCCGUGAGGUAACCGUAAGGGGCCAGCGGCCGAAGGUGGGAUUGAUGAUUGGGGUGAAGUCGUAACAAGGUA
rnacentral:rRNA from 1 species